AUUGGCUGAUCCUUGGCUCAGCUCUUCUACCCAGCUACCAUCUCCUCUACAGCAAGAGGCCUCCUUCUUCCCUAGUCCACUUUGUAUGUGGCUGGAAUGUUAGAGAGCACAUAGUUUUCCAUGAGGGUUUGCAAUGACUGCUUGAGAAUUCAGAGCCAAAUAUCUGGCCCGCAACUGGAAAGCGAAAAGGACAAUGCACCAGGAGCAGAGGCGACUAAGAAUCAGUUUCGACUUCUCGCAGCUGUCAUUGCAGCCAAGGUUCCAGUGGGUGCAGGGCUGGAAGGAGAACCACAGGCUAAGACUGGGUCCUCACAUCUGGCUGCCCAGCAGACGGCUUUCACAGGAUGAGCAAGUGACACGAUCCGGGAAGUCGAAAAUCCAUCCUCGCUCCGUUUGUUUUUCUUAGUUUCAGUUUUUCCGUGCCUCCUAAGAAGAGCCGAGGCUGACUAGGUCUGCAGCUUCAAUACCCAUCAGGAGAGCAAACGGCUUCUCUGUACCACCCAAGCAAUCAAUUAAAUGGAGAGCGAGGCAGCGAUUCCUGACGUGGCAGAAUUUUAAGUCCAGCUGUGAAACUCCACAGUGCGGCCAGAAGUAGACAGACAAGUUGAACCGAAACCUAAGGGGCGCUGGACCACUGCCUCUCAGCAAUUUUAUUGUAAGUUGUUCCCGCUGUCUCAGAGAGAAAUUUGAGACGUGGUUAGAGAAAAGCAUGCAGCUAAUUACCCCCAUUUUGAGCAUAGAUCUUUGUUUUAAGGGACUUGCUUUAUAAGCGAUUGCCAAGAACCUUGCUUUGAAUGAUAUUUCCAGGCAUGCUAUUUUUAAUAGCAAAUAAUGGCAGUUACAUCUUACAAAUAAUAGUUUAAUAUGCUUCUAUUCCUGAGUGUUCUUGAUCUCAUAAAAUCUUAACAACAACUCUGUGAGGUUGGUACUCUUCUUAACGCGAUAUUACAGAUGAGGAAACUGGGAGCUGCCUCACCGGGUACUUAAGUACCUUACAGGAAGCACACGGCUCGUAGCUGAGAGCCCAGCUCGUGUAGCUACACCGUCUGCAUCCCAAAGGAGGCCGGAAACUAGGCCAUUCAUUUCUCAAAAGACAGAUUCUCUUAGUGGAUUAACACAUAAGACCCAACAAUAUGUUUGUUUCUUAAAAAUAGUUAUUUAUAACAAAAAGGUGCAGGAAAGCUAAAAAUAAAAAGUUUUAUUGAGGAAACUCAUACAACAAAAAGAAAACAGUUGGUAAAGUUGAUAUCAUAUAAAAGAAAUUUUGAAGUCACAAAGGUGGAGGGAGGGUACAAAGAGGUUCGUGAUUAUAAUGAAAAAUAUAAAAUCAACAGCGAAGCCAUGGAUUACCAAAGUUAGAAACGCAAAGAGAAAGAAUAAAUAAGAAACAACCAAUUGUAAUGGGAGGUGUUAAUUCGUUAUCAGGCUAAGACGAAAGUUAGACAAUUUUAAAAAUUAAAUAGACAAACAAAAAAUUUAGAAGACAUUGAAGAUGUGACAAAAACAGAUAUAAAUUUGGAAAGUAACAUAGAGGUUAUGAAUACUGUACAAUUAAUAAGUUAGAACCAGUAGACACACACUGAACUCAAAACAACAUAGACUAUACAUUCUUUCAAUGUAUAGGGCAUUGGUACGUAUAUACUAACUCUCAACUAAGGCCCCAAAAAUGAAUUAAGAGGAAAACUACAUAGAUAUAUUUUCUCACCACUAUGCGAUAAAACUAAAUGUUAAUAAUAUAAGUAAAAACAAUGAAAGGAGCCUUGGGCAAAAUAGUGACCUAAUCUAUCACCUUGGAGGCAGAAUGUCCAGGGUUUGGAUUAUAACUCCACCCCUUACUGCUGUGUGACCUAGGCAAUUUACUGAACCUCUCUGAACUUUGGAUUCUUCAUCUAAAAAUGAGGCUCUACUUUGCAAAGUUGUUAUGAAUAUGAGCUAUAAAGUCUGUAAAAUAACAUAAUACUAAGACUUAAAAGAAUGCUUAAACCAAAUGUCAUACAGGGUGAUGCCAUAUUUUUAAUGUACUCAUAUUUUAUUUAACUGUAAAAAAAGUCCAGAAGUUUUGUUGAUUGAAAGCAAAAGUCUAGAAAAUAUACAUCUAAAUACUAACAGUGGCUAUCUCUAUGCCCUGAGA